ACUGUGCUGGGGGCCACCAGAGUUAGCUGUGGACGUGAUCGGUUGCAUUCGUCCCAGGGGACAGUGGCGAGGCAUUCAUAGUCCAGCCCUAAGUUCCUUAGCUGUGCCACACUUUAUGGCAAAUGUCGAUUAAUUGUAAAGGUGGGAACUAAGCUCGUUAUCUUUCCCUCGGCCCCCACCCUGCCUCUUCCUGCAGUAGAUGCACCAGAUUUUGAGGGCGGUGUCGCGGGGACGCCAGUAGAAGCCGAAAGAGAAGCCGAGAGAGAAGGCCGGAGAGCCCAGAUAGAGUGAAGACUUGCUGGGGGCUGGGAAGCCUGCCAGCCUACCAACCCUCCAGCGCCCCUGCAUGCUGCGUACCUGAGCCGGCGUCAUGGGGAUGCCAGUAGAAGCCGAGCAGAAACCGAGAGAAGGCCGGAGAGUCCAUAGAGUGAAGACCUGCUG